ACAUGCCUGACUGAGAAGGGCUGAAUACCGAAAGAAAAUGCAUUCUCUGGGCUGUGACAUUACUGAGGAUACUGACAUAUCCUUAUGGUGAUGGAGUUCUCUAUGGACUUGGCAAGUUCCUCAUAAGGAACUCAGAAGGAAGAAGAGGGGAACGUGGAGGAGAGGAGCAAGGAUGGCGUAAGGACCCACUCUGCCUACAAUGACAGUAUUUAUGAAAGCAGCUGGAAGGAAAAAAAAAAGAGGGUAGUGGGUGAGACACAGGCUCAAAAAUCCUUAAUCCAAAGAUGAGGAAACUGAGGUUUACUGAGGAAAGGACCCCUGCCUCCAUUAAGAACCUUUCUGGUCUGGGAGAUCAGGACACCGUGCUUGCUGCCAAGCCUGAUCACCUGACUUCCAUCCUUGGGCCCACACAGUGGAAGGAGAAGAAUCAACUUCAGACAUCCAUGGACUGAUUUUCACAAUAAUGCAAUAGCAGGCUCUCAAGCACACAAAUAAACAUUUAAGAGAGAAAAACAAAUUCCUCUUCAGAAAAGGCUCUCUGCUCUCUCUCCUUCAGGUAUACCGUACCUGCCCUUUCAGGGUUCAAAAACAGUCUAGUCACCUAAGAGUGACCACCCUUCCUCCAGGUACAAAGGGGCUCUCCCCUGGGGCUGCAAUAGACCGAUUUAUUGUAUUCACCCAACUUGGUUGCAAAUGCAUGCCAAUAAUCCUUCAGAGGGAAACUGCUUCAGAACAAUUCCAGCCUGUGUUUCCCCAG